GACCAGAGGGCAGGCGGCCCCCUCAGGUGGUCCCCGCUGGGGGAAGGACCAGCACCGCCAUCUAGGGUCCCUGGGGGAGCCAGGUAGGAGAGUCAGCAGGGACCCUAGUCUCGGUGCCUGGCACUGGGCUAAGUGUUUAUGCGCAUUAUCUCAUUUGGUUUUCAACAGUCCCAGGAGAUAAGGACUGUCUUUAUCUCAGUUUUGCAGAUAAGGAAACCGAGGCGCGGGAAGGUUAAGACCCCACCUCUAAUGCCCGUGCAUGAGUGGAAGCUGGCCCUGCAUUGGGGGCUACGGUAGUUAGGCACUCGUCACCUCACAGCUCACAGUGCAGGCAUUCAUGACUGCUUGUGGGGCUGGAGGAGAUCGGUACUGAGGAUGCAGCGAGGACAUGCAAAGCCAGAGACCUGCUUGCAGAACCUAGCUCAAGGUCGGAUGCAGAACAGGAGCUGCCUAGAACUCUGACUGCUCAUUCCCUAUCCAGCGCUCCGUCUACAGUCCUGGACUUCAACCACCUCUUUCAACUUGGCUCACGCUGUUUCUUCUGCCUACUCCUCUUGGUGAACUCCACACAUCCUUCAAUACUCAGUUCCAACAUCCUGCAACUCUCCCCUCUCCGAGUCAGAAACAGAAUGAAGUCACCACCACUGCUGGCUCCCAAGCCUAUGGCAGCCUUUGCUAAUGGAUCAUGGUGCCCUUACCCCAAGAUCCUGGAGGUGCCUCUUAGUCUUGCUCAAAGCCACAUAAAUCAAUGCGGCAGGACUAAUGGAUCAGGUAACUCAAGAAUGCAACAGCACUGUCAACCCCAUCUCCCACCAGGCUGGCAUAUCCUCUCUGGUCCCAAAGUACCUUGUAUAAACCCCCAUCUUGACCUGGGCUCUGAUCAUUUUCUUCCCUGUAAUUUACCCCAUUAGUCAGGGCACGUUUUCUCUAGCACCUAGUACUGGGUGUUGUGAGCUGAACUGUGUUCCCCCACAACUCUUGGUGAAGUUCUAACCCCCAGUAUCUCAGAACAUGAAUGUAUUUGGAGAUAGAGCCUUUAAAGAGGAACUUAAGGUAAAAUGACUUCACGUGGGUGGGCCCAAAUCCAAUAUACUGGUGUCCUUGUAAGAAGAGAUUAAGACACAGACGCAGAGACUGGACCAUGGGAUAACCAUGCAAGGACACAGCAAGAAGGCGGCCAUCUGCAAGCCAAGGAGAGAGGCCUCAGAAGAAACCAAACCUGCUGACCCCUUGGUCUUAGACUUCCAGUCUCCAGAACUGUGAGAAAAUCAAUUUCCGUUGUUUAAGCCACCCAAUUUGUGGUAUUGUCUUAUGGCAGCCCUAGUAAACUAAUACACUGGGCCUAGCACAUGGGAGCCACUCACAAGCACCCUUUGGAAACAACUUCAGAUAACUGUGAAAGAGCCCUAUGGGUCAGCAGGAAUGCACCCAGGAGAAUGCAAAAGGGCAAUGGUGACGGGCUUCAGGCAAGUGAACAGGCCCGAACGUUAACUCACCUGUGUCGCCUGCACAGCAGGCCAGGUGGAGCCCCUGCGCAAUAAUUACUGUCAAACUGGCAAGUGAGGGCCUGAA
ensembl:lncRNA